rnacentral:rRNA from 1 species
UACGGAGGGGGUUAGCGUUGUUCGGAAUUACUGGGCGUAAAGCGCGCGUAGGCGGACUAUUAAGUCAGGGGUGAAAUCCCGGGGCUCAACCCCGGAACUGCCUUUGAUACUGGUAGUCUUGAGUUCGAGAGAGGUGAGUGGAACUCGAGUGUAGAGGUGAAAUUCGUAGAUAUUCGGAAGAACACCAGUGGCGAAGGCGGCUCACUGGCUCGAUACUGACGCUGAGGUGCGAAAGUGUGGGGAGCAAACAGGAUUAGAUACCCGGUGUC